AGCUACCAGCAAAGAGAAAGAAAUUAAUUAAUUAAUUUGGUCAUGAUUAAUAUAUCUUCCUUUAUGGGAUAAAUGGAGCAGGAAAAGAAAUAAUUUGGUAGGGAGUCAAAUGGCCCAAUAAAUUUCAAAAAAUGUCCCAGUGCGGUAAAAUUCACCCUGAUUAAAUUUGGAUAGCAACAAAUAACUCACACAGAAGCUUCACCUACACUUCCCAUAACUCUGAUGAGAUAAUAUUCUAAUUACAAGGAAAAUUGGCUUUUCUAGGUGCUAAGAAAACCGGACUGUUUCUAAAAUAGGUGAGACAUGAAAACUCAAAUUCCCACCACCGAAUUGCGCAUUAAUUUUGAAUAGUCUUUUGGAUUCUUGUUAAGGAUACCAAGGCCCAGGGUCCUGCUGCUAUUCGGGAAUUUUGAUGUAUCCUAUGUAGCAAAGUUUUGAGGAAGCUGUCAUCAUAUUCAAAAUGUUU